CCUACGGGUGGCAGCAGUGAGGAAUAUUGGUCAAUGGCCGUAAGGCUGACCCAGCAAUGCCGCGUGAAGGAAGAAGGCUUUCGGGUUGUAAACUUCUUUGACAGGGGACGAGCAGAAGACGGUACCCUGAAAACAAGCCACGGCUAACUACGUGCCAGCAGCCGCGGUAAUACGUAGGUGGCAAGCGUUGUCCGGAUUUACUGUGUGUAAAGGGCGUGUAGCCGGGAAGGCAAGUCAGAUGUGAAAUCUGGAGGCUCAACCUCCAAAUUGCAUUUGAAACUGUUUUUCUUGAGUACUGGAGAGGCAGACGGAAUUCCUUGUGUAGCGGUGAAAUGCGUAGAUAUAAGGAGGAACACCAGUGGCGAAGGCGGUCUGCUGGACAGCAACUGACGGUGAGGCGCGAAAGCGUGGGGAGCAAACAGGAUUAGAUACCCGUGUAGUC
rnacentral:rRNA from 1 species